AAAGAAAGAGGGAGGCAGGAAGAAAAAAGGAAAGUAGAGCGAGGAAUUAGGUUCUAGCGGAGGAUGGGUGAGUAACGUGUGGGAAUGUGCCAUUCUCUAUGGAAUAGCCCUGGGAAACUGGGAGUAAUACCGUAUACGCCCUUUUGGGGAAAGAUUUAUCGGAGAAGGAUCAGCCCGCGUUGGAUUAGGUAGUUGGUGGGGUAAUGGCCUACCAAGCCGACGAUCCAUAGCUGGUUUGAGAGGAUGAUCAGCCACACUGGGACUGAGACACGGCCCAGACUCCUACGGGAGGCAGCAGUGGGGAAUCUUAGACAAUGGGGGCAACCCUGAUCUAGCCAUGCCGCGUGAGUGAUGAAGGCCUUAGGGUUGUAAAGCUCUUUCAGCUGGGAAGAUAAUGACGGUACCAGCAGAAGAAGCCCCGGCUAACUCCGUC
rnacentral:rRNA from 1 species